AAGUCGAACGAACCUUCGGGUUAGUGGCGGACGGGUGAGUAACGCGUGGGAAUCUGCCCUCAGGAGGGGGAUAACGGCUGGAAACGGCCGCUAAUACCCCAUAUGCCGAGAGGUGAAAUGAUUUUCGCCUGAGGAUGAGCCCGCGUCUGAUUAGCUAGUUGGUGAGGUAAGAGCUCACCAAGGCAUCGAUCAGUAGCUGGUCUGAGAGGAUGAUCAGCCACACUGGGACUGAGACACGGCCCAUACUCCUACGGGAGGCAGCCGUGGGGAAUUUUCCGCAAUGGGCGAAAGCCUGACGGAUCAACGCCGCGUGAGGGAUGAAGGCCUCUGGGCUGUAAACCUCUUUUCUCAAGGAAGAAGAUCUGACGGUACUUGAGGAAUAAUCCACGGCUAAUUCCGUGCCAGCAUCCGCGGUAAUACGGGAGUGGCAAGCGUUAUCCCGAAUUAUUGGGCGUAAAGCGUCCGCAGGCGGCCCUUCAAGGUCUGCUGUGUAGUACGUGGAGCUUAACUCCAUCAUGGCAUGGAAACUGUUGGGCUUGAGUGUUGUAGGGGCAGAGGGAAUUCCCGGUGUCCCGGUGAAAUGCGCAAAUAUCGGGAGAUACAU
rnacentral:rRNA from 1 species